rnacentral:rRNA from 1 species
CCUGUUGAUUCCGAAGAGUGAGGCUGGUCCGGCAUUGAUCCCUCUGCUUUAUCCCNACUCUUUUUACGGANUGGNAGGCAGGGGUUGGCACUAGAUGUAGGACCUGUGNAUCUCUUUGGAGAGGUCAGCAUCAGUUACAAAGAAGAGAUUCCGGACGAAAAAGGUAGGUUUCCUGUGGACUGCUUUAUAGUUUCGCCUGGCGGUUUUCUUUGUGACUGGAGCGUGUUUCCGAAUUCGGGCCACACUUUCGAGUACUCGAAUUCUGUGAUGCUGACUAUUAUGGUUUCAACCGACCCGUCUUGAAACACGGACCAAGGAGUCUAACAUAUGUGCGAGUAUGCGGGUGCCAAUCCUGUAUGCGUAAUGAAAGUGAGAGUAGGGAGGUGCGCGGCGCUGCCGCUCUUCACACCUACGACCGACCACGAUCUUAGAGAGAGGUUUGAGUUAUAGCAUAUCUGUUAGGACCCGAAAGAUGGUGAACUAUGCCUGGGUAGAAUGAAGUCAGGGGAAACCCUGAUGGAGGUUCGUAGCGAUACUGACGUGCAAAUCGUUCGUCAAACUUGGGUAUAGGG